CACAGAGAUAGCAAUGCAGACAUGAGGGUUUGGAGUUAGGGUAGCCUGGCUUCGGGUUGCCUUGAAACUUAAAGCUCUGGGGAGAGAAAAAUACAUGAAAGGUACAUACAUCAGAUGUGUCCCAUCAGUAGUUAGAAAUCAGUAGAAGGUGAAAACAUCCAGAGAGGCCUUUCAGUGGGUUUAUUCACAGCUAAGUCUAAAUCUCAGCAUUCACCAUCAGCUGCUGGGAAAGCCUGAUAACUCAUGAAGGCAAGGCUAAAUAAAAACCGCAUUACUGAGACUUCCACAAAGCUAAUUAAACCAAGUUUGAACGCCGUAUCUGAUGCCUGAUGCACAGACACCUGAGCACUGCAUAAAACCUGCAGACCCCAAAUGGGACUGUGGCACAUCACGAAGGAUGGACUGGCUGCUGAAGCUCUGGGAGAGCUGUGGUGAGCAGGACAGGUCACAGAGUGAAUCAGCCAAGCCUCAGCUCUUCGCCAUUCACCGCGACGCCGAUCUGAGGGCAUUUCUGUGUGUCAGAGACGGAGGAGAGCUGCUGGAGGCUGGUCAGGCCCCGGCCCCCACGCAGGGCUGAGCAGCUCGGAGCUGGAGGUGCGCUGUGGGGGUCACCCCACUCAUGAGGCUGGGCCGACUUGCUUCCUGCCCAUGGGUCGUGUGGGCACGGUGGGGUGCAGACAUGUCCCAGGGUUUCACUGCUCUCUUCCCCUGACUGCACAGUUUAAUCGUUGUCCACUACAAUUCUCUUCAAAGUACGCGGGCUCUUUUUGAAGACAACGCGUGGAGUGAAAUGCAGCGUUUCUGCUGCCUUUGUGUUGCUGAGUUAUUCUGUUUCUUUUGAAGACCCCUGCUGAAGUGCUGCAUUAGAGUUUUGCCAAAAGGGUUGCCAAUCUGCUUCCCACUUAGGCGUGCUUUCAGGAAAGCAUCAUUUUACCGAUGUCUGUCUGAAAGCUGAACUGAGAUUUUCAUUGUGAUCGUAUUUCAGUUUCUGAAAAUCAUUUCUGAGC